ACAUGACUCCCACCAUCUCCAUCCCCAUCUCCAACACCAAACACCCCCCUCAACAUAAUGACACACGGCUAGUGUCGAAUGGAACUUGGAAAAUUCCCAACAUCAUGGUAGUAUCAGGAUCUUCUGCAGCCUUCUUUCUGUGUUUGACUGUGUCAGGAGGAAUAUUCUACAUCUGCAAAA